rnacentral:rRNA from 1 species
AUUGAACGCUGGCGGAAUGCUUUACACAUGCAAGUCGAACGGCAGCACGGGGCAACCUGGUGGCGAGUGGCGAACGGGUGAGUAAUACAUCGGAACGUGCCCAAUCGUGGGGGAUAACAUAGCGAAAGUUACGCUAAUACCGCAUACGAUCUACGGAUGAAAGCGGGGGAUCGCAAGACCUCGCGCGAAUGGAGCGGCCGAUGUCAGAUUAGGUAGUUGGUGGGGUAAAGGCUCACCAAGCCGACGACCUGUAGCUGGUCUGAGAGGACGACCAGCCACACUGGGACUGAGACACGGCCCAGACUCCUACGGGAGGCAGCAGUGGGGAAUUUUGGACAAUGGGCGCAAGCCUGAUCCAGCCAUUCCGCGUGCAGGAUGAAGGCCUUCGGGUUGUAAACUGCUUUUGUACGGAGCGAAAAGGCUCUCUCUAAUACAGGGGGCUCAUGACGGUACCGUAAGAAUAAGCACCGGCUAACUACGUGCCAGCCGCCGCGGUAAGAC